AAAGUGCGACAAGUGUCACGACUUGCAGAUUCCCGGGAGCUGACCAAUUUCUGAAUGCAACUUGCGGACCGACUUUCUGCCCUGUCGGCCAUGUGCUGCAGAGUGUUGUUGCCUUGUGCACUACAUCUGUCUUUCCGUCCAGGAGAGAAAGGAUUCGGCGUUGGCCAUACCACACACGCAUCCACGCGUGCUGGAUGGCCAGCGCUCAGAAUUGCGCAAGCCCGCGAUCAAAGACGGAGCCUGCCUUGAAGAGCGCGCCGUGGCCCAAAAAACCACACAGCCUCAACAAAUAGGCAGAGCGCACACGAGUCUUUUCGCGAGAGAGUGCGACACCUUCCUUUUUCUGCUGACCUCUGCAGCAUAAGAAAACCCGCUGAACUUAA
rnacentral:misc_RNA from 1 species